rnacentral:rRNA from 1 species
AACGCGAAGAACCUUACCAGGUCUUGACAUCCUCUGACAAUCUGAGAGAUCAGACUUUCCCUUCGGGGACAGAGAGACAGGUGGUGCAUGGUUGUCGUCAGCUCGUGUCGUGAGAUGUUGGGUUAAGUCCCGCAACGAGCGCAACCCCUGUGGUUAGUUGCCAUCAUUCAGUUGGGCACUCUAAGCAGACUGCCGUGGAUAACACGGAGGAAGGUGGGGACGACGUCAAAUCAUCAUGCCCCUUAUGACCUGGGCUACACACGUGCUACAAUGGUCUGAACAGAGGGCUGCGAAACCGCGAGGUGAAGCUAAUCCCUUAAAACAGAUCUCAGUUCGGAUUGCAGGCUGCAACUCGCCUGCAUGAAGUUGGAGUUGCUAGUAAUCGCAGAUCAGAAUGCUGCGGUGAAUGCGUUCCCGGGUCUUGUACACACCG